CUGCUUGACGCGUCUUUAUCAAAAAUAGACUGGCUGCCUGUUCUCGGCUCAGUGUUAGCCGCUUCUGGGACGCGCUGAGGCUCUUCUGGUGUGAUGUGUCGAACUCCAGCUGCGCUUCGCUACGUCAUUACAAUUACUACAAAUAAGAGAGCAACAGCAGUGAAGAAGACAUGCAGCCUCAGACAACCUCCAUGGUGCUCUGCCACUGGGUCGGAUUUGGAAAGAGAUCUGUUGGACUGAAAACAGUCGCUGGAAGCUGUUCUUCCAGACAAAAAGGCUCAGGCUUUCAGAGUUUCUGAUGACGGCAGUUUGUGGAACGAGUGUAACAGCCUUUGACGUGUUUAUUCUCUGUCUCUUUUCCUGCGUGGACAUUUGCUUUUAAAACAUGCCACAAACCACAUGUCAACGGGUCAGCUGCCACUAAUUAUCAGUUGAAAUUUAAAAAACACGCUUUGUAAAUCUCAUCUGCUUCGAGUUGUAUCGCUGGUUGAAGCUGGAAAUUAGAGUCAUGCCCAAAUCUGUCGUCUUUGUUGAGUUGCAGUGACACGGCUAGCCCAUAAUUGUCUCCUUUGAAUCAAAAUGUCAUGUUUGACAAAUCAAGUCCUACUGUAACGUUCAACAGCAUCUCACAGUCUUCAUCAGUGGCCAGAGUUUGCUCAGGCGCAUCACACGAGAUAAUGACAGAGGCAGGGUUAGGAUCCCCUGCCCCCUGACAUUCAUAUUCAUUCUGUGGCAGUUCCAGAGAUGUCUGGUUAUCAGUUUUCUGUAAAAUGUGCCAAAAUGUUGGGGGAGUGCUCCUAUAGAGUCCCAGUAUUAAUGUUAUAUGUUUUAACCAAUCAUUAGGCCCUGUAGUGGGUUUCAGGCUGUAAAUUUGCUGAGUCCUCUGACAGGUGACACCAUUCUCUAACCCUAACCUACAUUUAAACUGCAUUUGAAUCCAACACUCACCCAAAAAGUGAGCAGAUUCUCUGCAGCUUGACUUGGCCUUAUAUCUACAUUGUAUCUGCUGAGGCCAGGGCUGGACUGGGUCCAAAAAAUCGGUCCAAUUUUGGUCCAGGCGGCUCACAACAGUCGGCCGUCUCGUCUCCUCACCAAUACACCAUCCUUGUAGUUCUCUUAAAUAUACUGUAAUAUUCCCCCAAACCACUAUAAAGCUGAGUAGUACGUGCCAUGGAUAAGUUUACCAGUGCAAGUUGAUCAGUGUACUCCUUCGCACUCAUUUUCUGAGUCCCUGCACAACUCGUACUCAAGUACAAGUAAUUUUCACAGCAGCACGGCAACAAUUUUUAUAGCAGCAGCGUGGGAUUAGCCAACGCAGUGCUGAAAAAAUAAUGUCAGCCAUUAGGACAGUUAGCUGAAGCUGAGACUACGUUGGCACAGUUAGGCUAUAUAAAUAAACAAUUUACGUUAAUAUUGGCCCCAUAGAUGCGUCGGCCCACAGGGCAUUUAGCCGGUAUUCCAUAUUACCAGUCCACCCCUGAGGCUGAGGCUAAACCACAGUGGCUGGCCCAACUGGUUUGAUAAGCAGGUCUGUUUGAAUGCCAUGUCCGCUCAGUAGGGUCCAACAUAAAUUCAUUCACAAAUACUUGAAAGGCUGUAAUCUGGUCCAUUUUUCCUGUCAAGACUGUUAAAGAACUAAAAGAUCAUCGGACCUUCAGACCAACUAAACAUAAAUAAAAUGAGUCCAAGUGAUCAGCAGUGUGCAGGAGUUAGUACUGGACUGACACACCUGUUUAUACGACUAUCUAGUGCUUUGUAGUUGUAAUUGUUCCCUUUCAAGACAUAUAACACCUGGUUAACUGUGUCUGACACCAAUGAUAUGUUGAGAGGUUAGCAAUUGAACAGAUAUAUUUAGGCACUGUCUAGACUCCGCUGCAUUGCAGUACAGAUUUUAUUUCCCAGGUAACGCAGGUUUAGAUCUGCUGGGAAUAUCUCUCACACAGUGGAUGCGAAAAAACUUGAGAUGACAAUUUACAGCCUUUCAGCACAUCCCAUGCCUCGAUCGUCUUCUGUGAUCGUUUCUCUUAGUACGAGCUCGUGUCAGUUGCAGAAGUCACUCCCUUUCUGGCCCUGUUUGUCACGUGUGGAGGUGGAGAUGCAACUGUCAGCAUGAAAGCCUCUCAAUGUGACUGUCCUGCUGUCUGAGUGACGACUGCUAAACAUCAAGUCUCCUGUAACUGGAGGAUAAUUGAGUGUAAUGGCAGGCGGGGAUGCUUUGGUUAAAUGGCACACAGUUGAGAGAAACAAUACAGCACUGAAAGAUCAAACCACGAUGAUACUGCAGAUUCACUGAGACCACCAGAGAGAGGAGGCUUCUUUAAUUUGACAUUUGAAUCACUGCACAAAGUCAAGGGUGAGAUGUGAAUGAGAGAAGAAUAAAUGCAGGGGGAGAGAGAGAGAGAGAGAGAGAGCGAGAGCUGUUGACCCAUAUUUACUGUAACAUUUUCCCUCCCCUCCCCACACUCCGUUUCUCAUUGACCUCCCUCUUUUACCCCGGAUCUAUUUUUAGCAGCAGCCGCUCUCACUCAGGCCUAAUAUAAGAAUAGAUGCUCCUCGCAAGAAACGCAGCAGGAAAUAUUCUGCAGGCAAUAAGUUGGAGUGAGGGGGGGGGGGCUGUCCUAUCAACCUGACCGAUUUAACAAGCUCUGUCACACAGUACAUCACUGUUUUCAAAUUUGUCUCUUGAUCCUUGCAGCACUUUGGUGCAAUCCUUCAAUCUGAAUUUAAGGGUGCUCUCUGGGCCUUUUUCUGUAAGAGGAGCCCUUACUGGACCAUUAAACAGUUUAUUUAUUUUGGUAAAACAACUCCCUCUUACUGCAGAUGAUGGUUCUCUAUUGCCUUCUCUGUCAAGUCCAUCGUCUGGCUGCUGGCUGCAAAACUCCCAAUUUUUUCUGUCUCUUAAUGCUGCUUGUUUUAUGAAUGUAAACCAUUUUUCUCACUCAGAAUGAACUACAAAUAAUCCUCUGCAUUGUUGUUGAUUAUUUCUU